rnacentral:tRNA from 1 species
AUAGUAAUAGGAAAAUCCGUCGACUUUAGAAAUCGUGAGGGUUCAAGUCC